rnacentral:lncRNA from 10 species
GCAGGUAUGUUUUUUCAUAGAGGCUCUAGCUUCCCUUUUCUUUGUUGCCGUGUGUGCAGUAAGCAAGCAAGCAACAUGGUGCCAGCCAGGUAGAGAAUCCAGUUGCAUAAAAAAUAUUAGGGUGGAGUAGCCAACUUCUUCAAAUGCUAUGUAAAUGGCACAGCUAGUCCAGCCAAUCCUUUGUGCCCUGUGUAAAUCAGAUACCACCUCCUCAAACUCAUCUAUAAAACCAGCUGCACCUAACCACGAAUAGGGAGAUCUGUUUGGAACGCUGUCCCUCUGCAGGAGGGAUCUUUGAUCUUUUGCCUAUCAAACUUCUGCUCUUAAACUCACUCCUUGUGUGUCCACAUCCUUGAUUUCCUUGGAAUGAAGCAACGAAUCUCUAGUAUUAACCCAGACAAAAGAUGCCGCUUCAGAGGUAUCUUGAUGGAGUACAGAAAUCCAGGGUGGCACCUUAAAGGGAGGAGCAAAGAACGCAGCCUUUGCCACAUCAUUUCCCUGUCAGGAUCAGCUUGGAACCAAAAGGGACUUCUUGUAGACAGGUUACCAAUUAGAAAUAAGAAUGAAACUAUUGAUAUAUACGACAACUUGGAUGAAUCUCCAGGAAAUUAUGCUGAGUGAAAAAGAAAAUCCGGAAAGGAAUAUCACGGGAAAGCAUGAAGCUGUUAUAAAGUUAAUAUCUGCUAUUCUGGACUCAAGAAGGUCAAUCUGUACCCUCCGUACGUGCCUCCUUUCCUAGCCUUCCCAAGAAGUCUUAAGAAAAAUGGACAUCAACCAGGCUGAAACCUUGGCAUCAUACCUGGCACCUGCUGGAUGCUUAAUAAGUACUUGUGGACUGAGUGACUCUCAUGCCUUACCUCUGCAGUGUAGACAAUAGUACCCAUGCUUGCUACAUCACGGAGGACUUGUUAAGCAUUAUUCAAUUAUGAAUCUUUAGCUAGUCUACAUGUCAUAGAUUCUAAUAUUGAUGUUUUCUACCCUUUAAUAUAAGUGAAUUUUAAUCCAUUUUAUAGUACAUCUUGAAAUUAUAUAUAUAAUUUCCUUAGUGGUACCUAAUGUAUCUUCCAAUCAAUAAUUUUCCUGAUUUAUUGAAAAACGGUAUUAAAUAAAUGUAAUUACAAAACCAACUUACUGGCCAAUUCUACACACUGAUCUAUACACAAAACUCAAAGCCAGCUUCCAUAUUUAGAAAACACAAUUAGUUUGAGUAUUAGGCUUUGGCAAGAAAAUCUAACUGGGCCUUGAAGGUGAAUGUUAACUGAGGAGGAAGAAAUUUGAGAUAAUGGCCAGCAGUAAUUCAUCUUCCCAUAAUUCAUAUUAUGUCCAAAUUUCUUUGGACAUAACACUUUUGGCAUAUGGAUCUAUAGUUCCCGCUCCUAUUAAGAUAGGAAACCUUCCUCCUCUUCUAUUUAUAUUAAAAGCUCUUAUCAGAUAGAACCCAGCUGAGUCAGGGAAGUAGGAAUCACACAUGUGGGGCAUAGUUCUUUUCAUUUGUCUUUAUGUAUUCACUUUAUUUAUUAGAUAUAUGACACCCAGGAGCUCAAAGCAGGACAUCAUCUUUGUAUUCCAAAACAUCCUUAAAUUGGGAGAUGUGUCGCUUCUAGUAGCACCAGUAGAUGAAUAUUAAAUAGAUGAAUGAAUACUUAAGCUUUCAUCCAUUCAUUGGUCCCUAACCCCACCUCAGCACUACUCCCAGUGCUAGCCAAUAGGCUGCAAAAACUUACUCCUCCCCAUCAUCAUAGCUGCUGAGGAGCAUUCAUCAAGAGAAAAAAUAAUUUAAAACCCUAAUAACAUGUAAGCUAAUUUCUCCAAAAGCCAUAUGUAUUUUUUUUAAUAUUCUGAAACUACAUACAUGCUUCCAGGACCACAUAAAAAUUUGAAAAGCUUCAACUAGGGCUAUGCUAAGUAAGAUUAAAACUAAUGUUAAACUUUUGGGCUGUAAAGUUUAAAAUAACAGAUUUUUAAAAAUAGAAUUCAUGCUUUUUAAAAAUUUUUAAAUAAAUACCUUUCCUUAUAUAAUUUAAUGAAAAUAUGGAAACCAUUGAAGACCUAUUGUCCUUGGUCAUAGUUGUUGCAUUUGAUCUUGAAAACAUUAUUUCGACAGCUUGUAUUCAUUUGAGUGUGAUUUGUUCUAAUCAUAGUCUAAUCUUAUUUUGUGCCAUAGACGACAAUGAGCCAUAGUAAUCCAACUAUUGGGUGAUGUUCAAAAAACUGUGCCAGAGGCCAAUGUGUUAAUACAUGUGACUUACUCUGAGGGACCCAGGCACACAUUAACCCUGAACUGCCUGAAAGGUAUUAUAGAUAUCUUACACAUAAAACCUCAAUAUUUACAGUACAUUGCUUCCUUCAAAUAUACUCAGUUGCUGAGCAUAAUUGAUUCUCAAAAUAUAUCGCUGACUUUAAUGGCAUAGAUGUACAUUAGACAACAUUAAACACACACACCCACACACACAUAAUACCAAGACUUUUCUUGGCAUAACACUUAAUGUCAUUAUAUGAAAGAUACAUUAUUAACAUAAACAUGCUAUAUUGCAUGACAUAUAAACUGUUAGAAAAAUAAGUGGAGAGGUGUCUGGAUAUGGUGAAGUGAGGUGAAACCUUAAUUCAUUAAAUGUAAAUAAGCAAAGGCAAAUAAGCAAACAAGAAAAUAUUUACGCACAUAGAUGAGAUGCAUCUAAGCCAUAAAUAAAUGCAUGCAGAGUCAUCUAAUUGAAAAAGAGAUAUAAAAAUUCAUACUGCAGACUACACUUUAUUCAUCAUAUUAGCAUAAUUACAGAAGGCAAAAUUACAAGCAAUUAGCAAUGCAUUGAUAGUACAUAAAUAUUCUAAAUCAGAAAAUAAUUUUGAAUAUAUUGCAUUUAUACAUUGCUUUUCUUUCCUGCAAAUGGAAAAUGAUAUGUUCUUGGGGAUAUAGUCAAUUAUUAGGGAUAUUUAUGCUUAAAGUUAAUAUAUUAGGCUUUAUGAAACUGAUUUUAUUAUAUUCUAAGAUGCACUGUGUUACUUAUCUGUUUUUCAUGUAACAUCACAUGUUCUCUAAGAUAGGUCAAGGCAGGAUUCAGUUACUUAGAGAAGCAACAAUGCCCCAUUCAAUCUUAAUCCACCAAUGAUGCUGCCAGUGUUGCAGGAAAGCAAUGUGUCUAGAUGACUCUGGGUAAGGAGCUCUGAUUCCUUAACAAGUAGAUCAUAGGUGAUGGGAUUAUCUGGGUAGUGCUAUAUUUUCUUAGUCAUCUUAAACACCAACUUGCUAACUAAAGUACCAAGACUAAACACUUCCUUAGGAACAUCUCUGAGAAAGUUUAUGUCAAUAAACUCACAAUCAACAAAGAGAAGUCAAGGAUAGAAGAAGGAAAGAGAAUUGGCAAGAAAAAAAAAGAUGUAAGCAAAAUAAUAGGUUCCAUAAAAAGACUGGAGUAUUAGAUAUAUGUGCAAAUAUUUUCUCUACUUUUUUAAAUGUUCUAUAUACAUUCUUAAAAGAACAAACCACCACCAUCACCAAGGACAAGCAUAAAGCCAAUUUCUUGCUUCUCUCAGAGAUGGCUCCAUCACUUUUUUUGAACAUUCACAUCUGUUGCAGUCUUAAUCAACAGCCAAAGUCAUCUUUGGCUGACAAAGAGAGAUAAUUCAGUAAUUUAAAUACUGGUCUUUGUAUGUUCUACAGUACAUCGGUCAAAUACAUGAAUUGGAAAUUUUUCUUCUAUUACAUAAAAAUCUUCAAAGAGGCUCAAAUAUAUAUUUUCAAGAUUCCUCUUGGUACUAUUUAGCAGUAAUUCAAGGAAAACAAAACAAAGAUAAAAAUGGAUAUAGCUGCUUGUUUCUAGUGUGUCUUCCUCAAACUUGUCAUGAUCAUCCUUUCUUUUCUAUAUAACUCUUCACUUUAAUCUUAGAUGCCUGUCAGUAUUUUCAAGGCCUUGAAGAAUAGUAUUACUAAAAGAUUCAAAAUUUCCACAAGGAAAACAAAAAUGAGAUUCAAAAUUACCAACUAAAUUCUAUAUUCAGAAAUUCCUGGUUUAGAAUUGCUGUGGGCCAAAUCAGUCAACCAACCAACAACAAACUAAGUUUAAAACAAAACAAAAUAAGCUGCUUUCAUGAAAUAUAAAUAUAAAUAUACACUGUAAUAUGGUUUGGUUGUCUCCCCACCCAAAUUUCAUAUUGAAUUGUAGCUCCCACAAUUCCCACAUAUCAUGGGAGGGACCCAGUGGGAGGUAAUUGGAUCAUGGGGGCAGGUCUUUCCUGUGCUGUUCUCAUGAGUGUGAAUAAGUCUCAUGAGAUCUGAUGGUUUUAUAAAGGGGAGUUUCCCUGCACAAGCUCUUAUCUUCCCGGCUGCCACGUAAGAUGUGACUUGCUCCUCCUUGCCUGCAGCCAUGACUGUGAGGCCUCCCCAGCCACGUGGAACUGUGAGUCCAUAAACCGCUUUUUCUUUAUAAAUUAGGCAGUCUCAGGUAUGUCUUUACUAGCAGUGUGAAAACGGACUAAUACGCAUUGUGAGUUCUUUUAUUUUACCCUAUGCUAGUCAUUAAGAACUCAUUGUGCAACAUUUGCAGAAAAUCUGUUAUAUGAGAUCCCUGGAAAAGGAAUUGCCUACUUUUUCUUUACUUUGUCCCUAGAUUUUCCAAACAAAACUUCAAGUUAACCAUUUAGCGGACUUACUAUAUGCUAGGCAGCAAUGGAAGCAUUUUACAAAUAUAAAUUAAUUAAUUUAAUCCUCAUAACAAUCAUGGGAGGUGAUCCCUAUUUGACCGAUGAGGAAACCAAGGCACUAAGAUUUAAGAAAUGUUCCUAAUAUGUUAUACGUAAUGCACUCUAGAGUUAGGAUUCAAGCCAAGGCUGUUUGAGUACUAAGUCCUAAGUGCUAAGUUCUAAGAGCUAAGGGAGUCUUUGUGUGGCUCUAUUAUAUUCCUAACUUUUAUACCUCCUGGAGAAGGUACAACUUGACAUUCCACAAGAUUAAUAUUUGGGGGAACUUUUUUGCUAAUGAUGUAUAACAAAAUUAAAAAUAAAUUUCUGAAGAAUGUAUGUUGACUCUUCCUUCCUCUGCCAGCUACUGUCUCCCCCUGCUC